UAAUUUUAGGCCAAAGCAUUUGUGGGUGUCUUCAUCACAAAUACCAAACUGAAUUAUAAUAAUUUCUUCUUUCUAAUUGUUGAAAAUUUUAAAGCAUCAAUCAAAUCUUAUACGAUCCGUUUCAUACCAAUUAUCUUUAUAAUGACUGAUGUAUUAUAAAAUAGUCAUAACAAAAAAAUAUAAAUAGUAAACAGUACGAUGACAAAAAAAAAAACAAUAAAUGCAAAAAGUUUUAUUUAUAUAUCCAAAGAAAUAGAAUAUGACUUCUACCCCUCUAAUAAGUAAUAACUAAAUACGAAAUUCCGGUUAUGUUAAUUGAUUUGAUUCUCAAUUCACGUGAACAAAUGGAGUUUGCUGUGAAGUUUCGGAUUUAGCUGGAGGAGAGUUCAUAAACACAAGGUCAAUGUUAGUCUUGAAAAUGCACGUGGGACGUUGUAUUGUUGUAGCGAUUGUUGAGUUCUGGUUCACAAUAAAUAAAAAGGUUAGUUUCUGGCACUUGACACAGAUCUUGUAAACGAG
rnacentral:lncRNA from 1 species